rnacentral:piRNA from 1 species
UAGACUACCACGUGUUCACGGACGCCGCGC